UGGGGAAUAUUGCACAAUGGGCGCAAGCCUGAUGCAGCCAUGCCGCGUGUGUGAAGAAGGCCUCCGGGUUGUAAAGCACUUUCAGCGGGGAGGAAGGCGAUAAGGUUAAUAACCUUGUCGAUUGACGUUACCCGCAGAAGAAGCACCGGCUAACUCCGUGCCAGCAGCCGCGGUAAUACGGAGGGCGCAAGCGUUAAUCGGAAUUACUGGGGGUAAAGCGCACGCAGGCGGUCUGUCAAGUCGGAUGUGAAAUCCCCGGGCUCAACCUGGGACCUGCAUGUGAAACUGGCAGGCUAGAGUCUUGUAGAGGGGGGUAGAAUUCCAGGUGUAGCGGUGAAAUGCGUAGAGAUCUGGAGGAAUACCGGUGGCGAAGGCGGCCCCCUGAACAAAGACUGACGCUCAGGUGCGAAAGCGUGGGGAGCAAACAGG
rnacentral:rRNA from 1 species